UACGGAGGGUCCAAGCGUUAUCCGGAAUCACUGGGCAUAAAGCGUCUGUAGGUGGUUUAAUAAGUCUGCUGUUAAAGACUAGGGCUUAACCCUAGGAAAGCAGUGGAAACUGUUAGACUCGAGUAUGGUAGGGGUAGAGGGAAUUUCCAGUGGAGCGGUGAAAUGCGUUGAUAUUGGAAAGACCACCAACGGCGAAGGCACUUUACUGGGCUAUUACUGACACUCAGAGACGAAAGCUAGGGUAGCAAAUGGG
rnacentral:rRNA from 1 species